AACGAACGCUGGCGGCAGGCUUAACACAUGCAAGUCGAGCGCCCCGCAAGGGGAGCGGCAGACGGGUGAGUAACGCGUGGGAAUCUACCCAUCUCUACGGAAUAACGCAUGGAAACGUGUGCUAAUACCGUAUACGUCCUUCGGGAGAAAGAUUUAUCGGAGAUGGAUGAGCCCGCGUUGGAUUAGCUAGUUGGUGGGGUAAAGGCCUACCAAGGCGACGAUCCAUAGCUGGUCUGAGAGGAUGAUCAGCCACACUGGGACUGAGACACGGCCCAGACUCCUACGGGAGGCAGCAGUGGGGAAUAUUGGACAAUGGGCGCAAGCCUGAUCCAGCCAUGCCGCGUGAGUGAUGAAGGCCCUAGGGUUGUAAAGCUCUUUCACCGGUGAAGAUAAUGGCGGUAACCGGAGAAGAAGCCCCGGCUAACAUCGUGCCAGCCGCCGCAGUAACAC
rnacentral:rRNA from 1 species